GCCCUCGUAGCUCAGGGGACAGAGCGGCUGCCUUCUAAGCAGCGGGUCGCUGGUUCGAAUCCAGCCGAGGGCG
rnacentral:tRNA from 2 species